rnacentral:rRNA from 1 species
UUUUAUGGAGAGUUUGAUCCUGGCUCAGGAUGAACGCUGGCGGCGUGCUUAACACAUGCAAGUCGAACGGAAAGGCCCUGCUUGCAGGGUACUCGAGUGGCGAACGGGUGAGUAACACGUGGGUGAUCUGCCUCGUACUUCGGGAUAAGCCUGGGAAACUGGGUCUAAUACCGGAUAGGACCGGCCUUUAGUGUGGUUGGUGGAAAGUUUUGUCGGUACGAGAUGAGCCCGCGGCCUAUCAGCUUGUUGGUGGGGUAAUGGCCUACCAAGGCGACGACGGGUAGCCGGCCUGAGAGGGUGUACGGCCACAUUGGGACUGAGACACGGCCCAGACUCCUACGGGAGGCAGCAGUGGGGAAUAUUGCACAAUGGGCGGAAGCCUGAUGCAGCGACGCCGCGUGAGGGAUGACGGCCUUCGGGUUGUAAACCUCUUUCGCUAGGGAAGAAGCCACGUGUGGUGACGGUACCUGGAUAAGAAGCACCGGCUAACUACGUGCCAGCAGCCGCGGUAAUACGUAGGGUGCAAGCGUUGUCCGGAAUUACUGGGCGUAAAGAGCUCGUAGGUGGUUUGUCGCGUCGUUAGUGAAAGCCCGGGGCUUAACUCCGGGUCUGCUGGCGAUACGGGCAUAACUUGAGUGCUGUAGGGGAGACUGGAAUUCCUGGUGUAGCGGUGGAAUGCGCAGAUAUCAGGAGGAACACCGAUGGCGAAGGCAGGUCUCUGGGCAGUAACUGACGCUGAGGAGCGAAAGCAUGGGUAGCGAACAGGAUUAGAUACCCUGGUAGUCCAUGCCGUAAACGGUGGGCGCUAGGUGUGGGGG